UGAAAAACAGAGGUGAGAUGGCCCAGGGUGU
rnacentral:piRNA from 1 species